rnacentral:rRNA from 1 species
CCUACGGGUUGCACCAGUGGGGAAUAUUGCACAAUGGGCGCAAGCCUGAUGCAGCCAUGCCGCGUGUGUGAAGAAGGUCUUCGGAUUGUAAAGCACUUUCGACGGGGACGAUGAUGACGGUACCCGUAGAAGAAGCCCCGGCUAACUUCGUGCCAGCAGCCGCGGUAAUACGAAGGGGGCUAGCGUUGCUCGGAAUGACUGGGCGUAAAGGGUGCGUAGGCGGUUGAUGCAGUCAGAUGUGAAAUCCCCGGGCUUAACCUGGGAACUGCAUUUGAGACGCAUUGACUAGAGUUCGAGAGAGGGUUGUGGAAUUCCCAGUGUAGAGGUGAAAUUCGUAGAUAUUGGGAAGAACACCGGUGGCGAAGACGGCAACCUGGCUCGAUACUGACGCUGAGGCGCGAAAGCGUGGGGAGCAAACAGGAUUAGAUACCCCCGUAGUC